UACGAUUAUCGUUAUUUCUAAAUUGGCACCAAAUUUAUGGAUAUAGUAAUUUCGUGGCACUCUUUACCAAUGCUCUUUACACGUGUUAAAUAAAGAGAAGGACUCGGUUCCACUGUCUUACAACAUUCAAGAUGGCGGAGGAAAGGGGUAAAUGUGCGUUCAGUUGUGAUCAGCAUGAUCUCGACACCAAAAUAACGAUUACCGUUAUUUCUAAAUUGGCCCUGAAAUAACGAAUAUCAUAAUUUCAGUGCAUGUCUGAGACCUUCGGGCUCGAAGCUUGGGAACUAGUAUUCAGGGAAAGAUAAAAUGGCGGCUUACGGCGGCGAAGGAAAUCUCAGUAGUUUAAUAUUUAGCGUGAAAAGGCUUGGGUGUUGUGAUCUGGUUCUCAAGUAAAAAAAAAAUCACGGUCUGCAAUGGCCCUACCACCUUUUGAACAACAAGAAAACAUUGAAACGGUGGUAAAAAGCAGCAAGUUUCGAAGUCUAAACGAAAGAUGGGUGGUCAUUAUCCAUUACUUUUGGAAGUCGAUGCUGAUGAGAAAGAAAAAAUGUUUAUGAUUAUUUCUUCUCUCGAACAUUUUACUAUUUAGGUACCAAAUAAUCUUGAUACUGAAGAUCAUUGCAUCCAUUAUGAAAAAAUUACCCUUGAUUGCUUUGUCAACUGGAAUGUAUAAUGUAAUAUACCUUGUGAUUUGUGGGAUUUUCACAAGUAAACUAGAAAUACUUGAAGAGGGUAAUGAUGUACUUAAUGCAGAGCAUUUGGUACAAAGUCUGCUUUGCUGUAAUCUACCUGAAGGUGCUUUUUAUAUGCUAGUAAGACUUGCACAGCCCAGUCAAAAUGUUUUUGAGUAGUAGAAAAGCUGGCCAAACCUCUUCCUGAAAAGCAGUCUGAAAAAUGUGAAGUUAGCGGAAGGUACUUCAUUGUAGGCGGCCAAAUUGUAAGCUGCCAGCCCAUUUUGAGUGAGCAGUAAAACUCAAGAUUGGCUAUUUUAGCUAAUUUUAUUGAGAACCAAAUUCCCAGCAACGGGCACAAUUUUACUGGGCUAUUUGUUAUUUAACUACUUAGUAAUAUUCUUAUUAAAAUUUACUGCAUUCCUUUCUAAUAA